AUACUGAGACUAAGGUAGAAAAAGACACUUCCAAAGGGUGUCAAUGACAAGAGAGAAAUAGACAUAGAGUGGUCACUUCAUUUACCAACCCUGGAACCGCAGACCUCUGGGCUUCCUGGGGCCGCAGUGACUGUGUCCAGUCCUUCCUCACCCCGCUGCAGAGUCAGUCCAGGAGGCCUUUACCCACAGCACUGCCACCUCCCUCCACGACCCCUGUCUUUCUCUUCCCCAGAUUAAACGCUCCCACUUCU
rnacentral:lncRNA from 1 species